rnacentral:tRNA from 1 species
GCGGAUGUAGCUCAGCAGGUUAGAGCACAUGGAUCACAACCAUGGGGUCGGGAGUUCGAGUCUCUCCAUCCGCACCA